rnacentral:pre_miRNA from 2 species
UGACUUAGGGUGACCAGCCAUUAUGGUUUGCCUGGGACUGAGGAAUUUGCUGGGAUAUGUCAGUUCCAGGCCAACCAGGCUGGUUGGUCUCCCUGAAGCAACCUUCUUGCU